UCGACCUGAAGACGACAAAACUUUUAGUAAUAUUUCUGAAUAUAUCUGAUCUCGAAUAUAAACCAAACAUGCGAUCUCUAGCGCUUUUGCUCUUUGGGAUUCAUCUCGCCUUUGCGGAUAACUUUACAUAUCCCUUCAGUAUAACCUGUAAAGAUAAGUCUGGAAGUAAGAUAAGGUAACUCAAUUAAUCAUGAACACGAAGAAGAUAACGAAGAAGAUCUUAUGAGACACUGGGUGUUCUUUGUGCUACUUGGGUGUGUGUUAGGCAGUACCACAGAUGCUGACUCAGUGUCAGAUCAACGUGCCUGCUGUAUUUCCCUCUCAUUCUUUCUCGUGCUUGAGUAAAAAUGUUAACUCACAACAGAGAUGACUUUCUUUGUAGAAUCUGUUUCUAGCCUUGAGAACG